UUAUUCUUUAGAGACAUCUACAAAUUAUUCUAAUUUUAAAGACGGAUUUGUUGCAACAAUGUAAUCAUUAAAAACUACUUAGCUGAGGUAAACAUAGAAAAGAGGUUUUUACAAUAUAAAACGAUCAAACCAUUUUAUAUUUCUUACAUGUAAAGGUGAAAAAAAUGGUUGCAACUCUGAAAUUUGUUUAUAUUGUGAUUCUUUUUGUUUCUUUGUUACUCGUCGUAGCUCUUAGUCAAAGAGAGUGCGAUACAGAUGAAGAAUGCUAUAAAAAAUAUCCGUCUACUGUUCCUGUAACAAUGAUAUGCUUUGAAGGUUAUUGUAGAAGUCAGACCAUCAUAAUGCACAAUCCCUAGGACGAGACUGAGUGUUUGUUCACGAGAAUAAAGUGGAUUAUUAUUCUCUCGCAUAUAUGCUAGCGUGUUCUUUAAAGUUUGUAGGAGUGUUUUUAUAUUUAAAUUGGGUUGUAAGGAUAUAUAUAUAUUGUAACAUUAAGGUCGGGUUUAAUAAUAUGCUAUUGACUAAU